rnacentral:sRNA from 1 species
AUUCUGCCCAUGCGGGGAAGGAUGAGAAGCUUCGACCAAGGUUCGACUCGAGCGCCAGCGAGAGAGCGUUGCCGCAGGCAACGACCCGAAUGGCGAAGCGCGCAGCGCUGAGUAAUCCUUCCCCCACCACCA